AACUGCAAUGAAGUAUUGAUGGUAGGGUAUUAUUAGACAAAUCACAAAUGCAUAACAUGAGAUGGGGAAAAAAACAACAGAGAUUAUCAUUUCAAGGCUUAUAAUAUUCUCAAAACUAAGAACCCACAUCAAUUUUAUAAUGAAAGUUUAUAAUAUCCACCAAAUACUGAAGUUGUGGUUUGAAUUAAGUCAUUACCUCUACAAUGGCAACAUGAAAG
rnacentral:misc_RNA from 1 species